UACGGAGGGUGCAAGCGUUGUCCGGAAUCACUGGGCGUAAAGAGCGUGUAGGCGGCUUGGUAAGUCCGCUGUGAAAGUCCAGGGCUCAACCCUGGAAUGCCGGUGGAAACUGUCAAGCUUGAGUCCGGAAGAGGCGAGUGGAAUUCCUGGUGUAGCGGUGAAAUGCGCAGAUAUCAGGAGGAACACCAAUGGCGAAGGCAGCUCGCUGGGACGGUACUGACGCUGAGACGCGAAAGCGUGGGGAGCAAACAGG
rnacentral:rRNA from 1 species